ACUUGACGGCGUCCCAAAUCACCUAUAUACUUAAAAGUGCAUAUUUCAGAGGAAGCGAGGUGAAAAUCCUCCGCUGUCCCGUAACUGUAACCGAAUUUCAACAUUAAGGCCCAGAAUGCCUUGAUGUUCGCCGAUUCCGCCGUUUACGGCCACUGGCUAAAGGAUCCCUGUUCCAACAGGUGAUUCUGGCUGGGAAGGCCGGCAGAAUUGGUUCAGUUCCGACUGAAAACCCGGAAGCCAGGAGACUUUGGUAUGCGUAGGCCCCUUU
rfam:Treponema primitia ZAS-2, complete genome.